UACAGAGGGGGCAAGCGUUGUUCGGAAUUACUGGGCGUAAAGGGCGCGUAGGCGGCCUUCUAAGUCGAACGUGAAAUCCCCGGGCUCAACCCGGGAACUGCAUCUGAUACUGGAUGGCUGGAGAUUGGGAGAGGGAUGCGGAAUUCCAGGUGUAGCGGUGAAAUGCGUAGAUAUCUGGAGGAACACCGGUGGCGAAGGCGGCAUCCUGGACCAACACUGACGCUGAGGAGCGAAAGCCAGGGGAGCAAGCGGG
rnacentral:rRNA from 1 species